rnacentral:rRNA from 1 species
AACGAACGCUGGCGGCAGGCUUAACACAUGCAAGUCGAACGCCCCGCAAGGGGAGUGGCAGACGGGUGAGUAACGCGUGGGAAUCUACCCAUCCCUACGGAACAACUCCGGGAAACUGGAGCUAAUACCGUAUACGCCCUUUGGGGGAAAGAUUUAUCGGGGAUGGAUGAGCCCGCGUUGGAUUAGCUAGUUGGUGGGGUAAAGGCCUACCAAGGCGACGAUCCAUAGCUGGUCUGAGAGGAUUAUCAGCCACAUUGGGACUGAGACACGGCCCAAACUCCUACGGGAGGCAGCAGUGGGGAAUAUUGGACAAUGGGCGCAAGCCUGAUCCAGCCAUGCCGCGUGAGUGAUGAAGGCCUUAGGGUUGUAAAGCUCUUUCACCGAUGAAGAUAAUGACGGUAGUCGGAGAAGAAGCCCCGGCUAACUUCGUGCCAGCCGCCGCAGUAAAAC